rnacentral:tRNA from 1 species
GCCCGUAUAGCUCAGUGGUAGAGCAUUGUACUUAUGAUGCAAGGGCCCCGAGUUCGACCCUCGGUAUGGGCA